rnacentral:lncRNA from 1 species
CCAGCUGCACUGUGACGCGUGUUGGGGCGCCUAUGCGAGACGGGACCGGGACAGGAACCCUGUGGCUCUGUGGUAGGGGAAUGCCACCAACUCCCUGAGGAGCAGCCGUGUGGUAUGAUUGUAAACGAUUAUGAGGGAAAUGACUCUGAAGCAGAAGACCUGAAUUUCAGGGAGGCUUUGCCUUCAUCAAGUCAGGAAAACACACCUAGAUCAAAGGUUUUUGAAAAUAAAGUUAAUUCAGAGAAGGUAAAACUUUCUCUUCGGAAUUUCCCACAUAAUGAUUAUGAGGAUGUUUUUGAAGAGCCUUCAGAAAGUGGCAGUGAUCCCAGCAUGUGGACAGCCAGAGGCCCCUUCGGAAGAGACAGGUGGAGCAGUGAGGAUGAGGAG